rnacentral:rRNA from 1 species
AACGAACGCUGGCGGCAGGCUUAACACAUGCAAGUCGAACGGGUGCAGCAAUGCAUCAGUGGCAGACGGGUGAGUAACACGUGGGAACCUUCCUAGGGGUACGGAACAACUCAGGGAAACUUGAGCUAAUACCGUAUACGUCCGUAAGGAGAAAGAUUCAUCGCCCCUAGACGGGCCCGCGUCGGAUUAGGUAGUUGGUGGGGUAACGGCCUACCAAAGCCUACGAUCCGUAGCUGAUCUGAGAGGAUGAUCAGCCACACUGGGACUGAGACACGGCCCAGAUCCUACGGGAGGCAGCAGUGGGGAAUCUUGGACAAUGGGCGCAAGCCUGAUCCAGCCAUGCCGCGUGAGUGAAGAAGGCCUUAGGGUUGUAAAGCUCUUUUACCAGGGACGAUAAUGACGGUACCUGGAGAAUAAGCCCCGGCAAACUUCGUGCCAGCAGCCGCGGUAAC